rnacentral:SRP_RNA from 1 species
GGUCAGGUCCUAUGCGAUGAUGAGCGGGCGAAUCCCGCCAGGACCGGAAGGUAGCAACGGUAGUCGCGUUUCACAUGCGCCGUAGGUAGCCUGGCCACU